rnacentral:lncRNA from 1 species
UAAAAUGUUUCUGUGGCAUAAUAAAAAUAUGAUAAAACACUAUUACAACAAGCUCAAAAAUUUGCAUCUGGAUCUGGCAACACUAUUACAGCAAGCUCCAAACACACAUACAACACAAUUACAGCAAGCUCCAAACACACAUACACCACACAAGAGCAAGAUCAAGUGUUCACAACAGACAAGAGCAAGAGCAAGAGUAAAACAAGAUUGAGAGGCUACAGACAAGAGCAAGUGUUCACUAAUAAUAUGCACGCGAAUAAUAUCCAACAGUAAAACAUCUGGAUCUGGCAUCAUCUAGAAGUAUCAUCAUGCACGCGAAUAAUGUAAAGCAUGACCAUCAGAACAUCUUCACAAAUUCUGAAACAAUAUCAAAGU